AUGACUUGGGAUCCCGUGGACUAUCCUUACCACCGUUCCCUUCGUGCAAGGACUACACACAUCUCUUCUACUUGGCUUUCACCUUAUGCCCAUACUAUCGUGUUCACUUUGCAUGUUAUGCCUCUUUACAUGAUUUUUCCAUGCAAUUGUGACCCUUACUUGCAUCUACCCAUGAUUCACCAUUAUGCUACUUCUAUGUGUAUUUGCAUGCUUGGUGGAGAUCCUAGUAGAUAUUGCCAUGAUUUCUUUGUGCCCCAUGCUAUUGAUGAUUGUUGUGUUGGGAGAGUCAUGAGGUCCCAUUGCUAUUUACAUAGGACUUCUUGCCAACACCAUGAACCUACUUUGCUCAUAUUUUGUUUUCAUGCUUGUGAUAUGUCAUGUGCAUUAUAUAUGCCCACUAUUUGCACACAUGACAUGAUUGCCAUGAUUCCUUCUAGUACGUUGCAUCUUCACACUACCAACUUGCUUAACUUGAUCACUAUGAUGCUUGCUUUGUAG
rnacentral:rRNA from 1 species